rnacentral:rRNA from 1 species
GAUGAACGCUGGCGGCGUGCCUAAUACAUGCAAGUCGAGCGAACGGACGAGAAGCUUGCUUCUCUGAUGUUAGCGGCGGACGGGUGAGUAACACGUGGAUAACCUACCUAUAAGACUGGGAUAACUUCGGGAAACCGGAGCUAAUACCGGAUAAUAUUUUGAACCGCAUGGUUCAAAAGUGAAAGACGGUCUUGCUGUCACUUAUAGAUGGAUCCGCGCUGCAUUAGCUAGUUGGUAAGGUAACGGCUUACCAAGGCAACGAUGCAUAGCCGACCUGAGAGGGUAGUCGGCCACACUGGAAGUGAGACACGGUCCAGACUCCUACGGGAGGCAGCAGUAGGGAAUCUUCCGCAAUGGGCGAAAGCCUGACGGAGCAACGCCGCGUGAGUGAUGAAGGUCUUCGGAUCGUAAAACUCUGUUAUUAGGGAAGAACAUAUGUGUAAGUAACUGUGCACAUCUUGACGGUACCUAAUCAGAAAGCCACGGCUAACUACGUG